UACGAAGGGGGCUAGCGUUGUUCGGAAUUACUGGGCGUAAAGCGCGCGUAGGCGGCUUUGUAAGUUAGAGGUGAAAGCCCGGAGCUCAACUCCGGAAUUGCCUUUAAGACUGCAUCGCUAGAAUCAUGGAGAGGUGAGUGGAAUUCCGAGUGUAGAGGUGAAAUUCGUAGAUAUCGGGAGGAACACCAGUGGCGAAGGCGGCUCUCUGGGCAGAUACUGACGCUGAGACGCGAAAGCAUGGGGAGCAAACAGG
rnacentral:rRNA from 1 species